rnacentral:misc_RNA from 1 species
UUUUUUUUUGUCAACAAUAGAGACCUAUAAAAUGAAAAAUACAGAACUUCAUUCCAGCUGGCAGAGAAUUAGCAGCUUUUUGCUCUAACAUUAAGCUGCACAGAUUAACUUAGAACUGUGAAAUGCUGACUCAUAUUCUUUGGGUGUGGUGGUAUAUAUAAGGGCUUGCUUACAGCGGUGGCAAUCCAAUAGAUGUUGUAUUUCUUGUUUUUUGUUCUUACAGAGAGAGAGAUGGAGGGGGCUUUGCCUUUUUCUUUCUCCUUGGAGGGGGGCGAUUGGCGAGGGUUGGUGGAAAUCAUUUGUAAAGAGGGGUUGCUGGAUAACCAUAAUACACCAUGCAACUUUUUUCUGGAUAAAAGUGGUUUACUGUACACACACACUUGCAAGUUAAGUGUGGAUUUUGCAGGCAGUGGAGCUUUCUGUUAAAUUUUAUUUCAUCCUUGAUGUAAUGAUGUAUCACAAUCAUAUACAUAAUGUUACAUUUUUGUAAACCAUUAUUUUAUAGAAUUUCAAAGAGAAUGACUUGCUUUCUGUUUACAGUU